CCUACGGGUGGCAGCAGUGAGGAAUAUUGGUCAAUGGGCGCUAGCCUGAACCAGCCAAGUAGCGUGAAGGAUGACUGCCCUAUGGGUUGUAAACUUCUUUUAUAUGGGAAUAAAAUGUUCCACGUGUGGGAUUUUGCAUGUACUUUAUGAAUAAGGAUCGGCUAACUCCGUGCCAGCAGCCGCGGUAAUACGGAGGAUCCGAGCGUUAUCCGGAUUUAUUGGGUUUAAAGGGAGCGUAGAUGGGUUGUUAAGUCAGUUGUGAAAGUUUGCGGCUCAACCGUAAAAUUGCAAUUGAUACUGGCAGUCUUGAGUACAGUUGAGGUAGGCGGAAUUCGUGGUGUAGCGGUGAAAUGCUUAGAUAUCACGAAGAACCCCGAUUGCGAAGGCAGCUUACUAAACUGUGACUGACAUUGAUGCUCGAAAGUGUGGGUAUCGAACAGGAUUAGAUACCCUGGUAGUC
rnacentral:rRNA from 1 species